rnacentral:misc_RNA from 1 species
GCAAGUAAUGAUGUUUUCAGCAACGCUCAGCAAGGAGAUCCGUCCAGUCUGCAAAAAAUUUAUGCAAGAUCCAAUGGAAAUUUAUGUUGACGAUGAGGCAAAGUUGACCCUUCAUGGACUUGUACAGCAUUACAUCAAAUUGAGUGAAACGGAGAAAAACCGGAAGCUAAAUGAUCUGCUGGAUGCCUUGGACUUCAAUCAAGUGGUAAUAUUUGUCAAGAGUGUGAACAGGGCAGCAGAGCUGAAUAAAUUACUAGCGGAGUGUAAUUUUCCAUCUAUCUGCAUCCACUCUGGCAUGACUCAGGAGGAAAGAUUGACGCGCUACAAAGCUUUCAAGGAGGGUCAUAAGAGAAUUCUUGUGGCAACUGAUUUGG